UUCCCUUCGGGGAGCGAGUAGAGUGGCGUCCGGGUGAGUAACACGUAGGUAAUCUACCUUUGGGUGGGGAAUAACAACCGGAAACGGUUGCUAAUACCGCAUAAUGCAGCGGCACCACAUGGUGACAGUUGUUAAAGCGGGGGAUCGCAAGACCUCGCGCCUAAAGAGGAGCCUGCGGCGGAUUAGCUAGUUGGUAGGGUAACGGCCUACCAAGGCAACGAUCCGUAGCCGGCCUGAGAGGGCGGUCGGCCACACUGACACUGAAAUACGGGUCAGACUCCUACGGGAGGCAGCAGUCGGGAAUUUUGGGCAAUGGGCGAAAGCCUGACCCAGCAACGCCGCGUGAAGGAUGAAAUCCCUCGGGAUGUAAACUUCGCAAGAACAGGAAGAAUAAGUAGGGGACAAUACCCCCUAUGAUGACGGUACUGUUUGUAAGCUCCGGCUAACUCCGUGCCAGCAGCCGCGGUAAUACGGGGGGAGCAAGCGUUGUUCGGAUUUACUGGGCGUAAAGGGCGCGUAGGCGGCCUGUGCAAGUCAGUUGUGAAAUCUCCGGGCUUAACUCGGAACGGUCAACUGAUACUGCUCGGCUAGAGUGCGGAAGGGGCAACUGGAAUUCUUGGUGUAGCGGUGAAAUGCGUAGAUAUCAAGAGGAACACCUGCGGCGAAGGCGGGUUGCUGGGCCGACACUGACGCUGAUGCGCGAAAGCUAGGGGAGCGAACGGGAUUAGAUACCCCGGUAGUCCUAGCCUUAAACGAUGAAUGCUUGGUGUCUGGGGUUAUAAAGUCCCCGGGUGCCGUCGCUAACGCUUUAAGCA
rnacentral:rRNA from 1 species